UCAGUCAAAACUUUCACAAUGGAUCUCUUGGUUCCGGCAUCGAUGAAGAACGCAGCGAAAUGCGAUAACUAAUGUGAAUUGCAGAAUUCAGUGAAUCAUCGAGUCUUUGAACGCACAUUGCGCCCCCUGGUAUUCCGGGGGGCAUGCCUGUCCGAGCGUC
rnacentral:rRNA from 1 species